UACGGAGGGAGCUAGCGUUGUUCGGAAUUACUGGGCGUAAAGCGCACGUAGGCGGCUUUGUAAGUUAGAGGUGAAAGCCUGGGGCUCAACCCCAGAAUUGGCUUUAAGACUGCAUCGCUUGAAUCCAGGAGAGGUGAGUGGAAUUCCGAGUGUAGAGGUGAAAUUCGUAGAUAUUCGGAAGAACACCAGUGGCGAAGGCGGCUCACUGGACUGGUAUUGACGCUGAGGUGCGAAAGCGUGGGGAGCAAACAGG
rnacentral:rRNA from 1 species